UACGUAGGGUGCAAGCGUUGUCCGGAAUUAUUGGGCGUAAAGGGUUCGUAGGUGGCCAACUAAGUCAGACGUGAAAUCCCUCAGCUCAACUGGGGAACUGCGUCUGAUACUGAUUGGCUUGAGUGCAGGAGAGGAACGCGGAGUUCCAGGUGUAGCGGUGAAAUGCGUAGAUAUCUGGAGGAACACCGGUGGCGAAGGCGGCGUUCUGGACUGCAACUGACACUGAGGAACGAAAGCCAGGGGAGCAAACGGG
rnacentral:rRNA from 1 species